rnacentral:rRNA from 1 species
GAUGAACGCUGGCGGCAGGCCUUACACAUGCAAGUCGAACGGCAGCACGGGAGCAAUCCUGGUGGCGAGUGGCGAACGGGUGAGUAAUACAUCGGAACGUGCCCAAUCGUGGGGGAUAACGCAGCGAAAGCUGUGCUAAUACCGCAUGAGAUCUACGGAUGAAAGCAGGGGACCGCAAGGCCUUGCGCGAAUGGAGCGGC